rnacentral:lncRNA from 1 species
UUUGAGAGACAUUUUUUAAUGGCACUUAGGAAUUAUGGCUGAGGUCCAGCCAUGGCAUUUGAUGUUGCUCAGGCCCCUUGAUGCCGAGAGUCUUCAAGCUCAUGUGAGAUGCAUUUUUUAAAACACUGACAGAAGGUCCACGCUUGUCACUCAAGCGCUGCGGAGGUGGCAACGGGCAGAUUUCUUGGACCUGCUGGCCAGCAAGCCCAGUCUAAUACUGGGUGAACCUGAAGCCAGUCCCGGCUCACAAAAUAAGGUGGAUAGCA